rnacentral:rRNA from 1 species
GACGUAGGGGGCCAGCGUUGUUCGGAAUUACUGGGUGUAAAGGGUUCGUAGGCGGUGCGGCAAGUUGGGAGUGAAAUCUCUGGGCUUAACCCAGAGGCUGCUUCCAAAACUGCUGUGCUUGAGUAUGGGAGAGGUGAGUGGAAUUCCUGGUGUAGCGGUGAAAUGCGUAGAUAUCAGGAGGAACACCUGUGGCGAAAGCGGCUCACUGGACCAUAACUGACGCUGAUGCACGAAAGCUAGGGGAGCAAACAGG